rnacentral:rRNA from 1 species
CCGCACCCAUAUCUGUUGAAAAAGAUAGGGAUGACUUGUGGCUAGGGGUGAAAGGCCAAUCAAACUCGGAAAUAGCUGGUUCUCCGCGAAAACUAUUUAGGUAGUGCGGUGAGCGGACACCUUGAGGGGUAGAGCACUGAAAGAGCUAAGGGGGAGCGAUCCUUACUAAACUUUAUCAAACUCCGAAUACUCAAGAGUGAUACUCACCAGACAGACAUUAGGUGCUAAGGUCUAGUGUCGAGAGGGAAAGAGCCCAGACCGUCAAUUAAGGUCCCAAAAUUAUGGCUAAGUGGUAAAGGAAGUGAAUUGUCCAAAACAGUCAGGAGGUUGGCUUAGAAGCAGCCAUCCUUUAAAGAAAGCGUAAUAGCUCACUGAUCUAAACAAGACGAUUUGCGCCGAAGAUGUAACGGGGCUAAAGCCAUAUACCGAAAUUACGGAUUUACACGUAAGUGUAAGUGGUAGCGGAGCGUUCUGUAGGCCUGCGAAGGUGAACCGUAAGGUUUGCUGGAGGUAUCAGAAGUGAGAAUGCUGACAUGAGUAGCGAAAAGAAGAGUGAGAGACUCUUCCGCUGAAAGUCCAAGGUUUCCUGCGUAAAGCUAAUCUGCGCAGGGUUAGUCGGCCCCUAAGGCGAGGCAGAGAUGCGUAGUCGAUGGGAAUCAGGUUAAUAUUCCUGAACCAACUAGGAAGUGACGGAUUCAGUAAAUUGUAUGUCCUUAUUGGAUUGGAUAUGCAGUGAAUGAGUUCCAGGAAAUAGCCCUAGUAUAGACCGUACCCCAAACCGACACAGGUGGACAGGUAGAGAAUACCAAAGCGCUUGAGAGAACUAUGUUGAAGGAACUAGGCAAAAUACUUGCGUAACUUCGGGAUAAGCAAGCCCCAUUUUAAGGCAACUUAAGGUGGGGGGCACAUACUAGGGGGUAGCGACUGUUUACUAAAAACACAGGACUCUGCUAAAUUGAAAGAUGAAGUAUAGGGUCUGACGCCUGCCCGGUGCUGGAAGGUUAAGGAGAGAUGUGAGAGCAUUGAACUGAAGCCCCAGUAAACGGCGGCCGUAACUAUAACGGUCCUAAGGUAGCGAAAUUCCUUGUCGGGUAAGUUCCGACCUGCACGAAUGGCGUAACGACUUCCCCGCUGUCUCCAACAUAGACUCAGCGAAAUUGAAUUCUGAGUUAAGAUGCUCAGUACCCGCGGUUAGACGGAAAGACCCCGUGAACCUUUACUAUAGCUUUGCAGUGGUAUUAGGUGACAAAUGUGUAGGAUAGGUGGGAUGCUAUGAAGUUAUGACGCCAGUUGUAAUGGAGCAGACGUUGAAAUACCACCCUUUUGUUAUUUGAUAUCUAACCUGCUUCCCUGAACGGGAAGAGGGACCCUGCAUGGUGGGUAGUUUGACUGGGGCGGUCGCCUCCCAAAGAGUAACGGAGGCGCGCAAAGGUUGGCUCAGACUGGUCGGAAAUCAGUCGUCGAGUGCAAUGGCAUAAGCCAGCCUGACUGCGAGAGAGACAUUUCGAGCAGAGACGAAAGUCGGUCAUAGUGAUCCGGUGGUCCCGAGUGGAAGGGCCAUCGCUCAACGGAUAAAA